AAAAGGAAAGAAAGAAACAGAGAGCAAAACAAGCAGAGAAGGAAGGAAGGAAAGAAAGAAAGAAAGAAAAAGAAAAAGGGAAAUUUAAGGUUUUGAGGUUCCAAGCUCAAUUGCUAAUGUCGUGUACGAGUCAUUGUCCGAGAACGGAAAGGAGAAAGAGGACAAGGAGUGACUCGAGAGAAAUUUCGGUUAGGUCAAAGUCGGAUUGUUGAAUCAGCAUCCAAAGCCGAUUCUGAACUAAUUGUGGUGGUGAACAUUUUUUUUAGUUAUGGCAUGUAUAGGAAUUUAGUCAUUUUGUAUGUUUGUAAAUAUGAUUUUGUUAUAGAAUGAUGUGUAAGUAUUUGAUGAUGAAAUGGUUGUUUAAAUGAUCAAGGAUGAAGUUAUUUGUUGUUAUAAAAGUCUAAGUGAUAAAUUAUGUAAAA